rnacentral:rRNA from 1 species
GACGAACGCUGGCGGCAGGCUUAACACAUGCAAGUCGAGCGCCCCGCAAGGGGAGCGGCAGACGGGUGAGUAACACGUGGGAAUCUACCCAUCCCUACGGAACAACUCCGGGAAACUGGAGCUAAUACCGUAUACGCCCUUUGGGGGAAAGAUUUAUCGGGGAUGGAUGAGCCCGCGUUGGAUUAGCUAGUUGGUGGGGUAAAGGCCUACCAAGGCGACGAUCCAUAGCUGGUCUGAGAGGAUGAUCAGCCACAUUGGGACUGAGACACGGCCCAAACUCCUACGGGAGGCAGCAGUGGGGAAUAUUGGACAAUGGGCGCAAGCCUGAUCCAGCCAUGCCGCGUGAAUGAUGAAGGCCUUAGGGUUGUAAAGUUCUUUCACCGAUGAAGAUAAUGACGGUAGUCGGAGAAGAAGCCCCGGCUAACUUCGUGCCAGCAGCCGCCGCGG